UACGUAGGGGGCAAGCGUUGUCCGGAAUUAUUGGGCGUAAAGAGCGCGUAGGCGGUCCGGUAAGUCGGUUGUGAAAGUCGGGGGCUCAACCCUCGGAUGCCGAUCGAUACUGUCGGGCUAGAGUCCGGAAGAGGCGAGUGGAAUUCCUGGUGUAGCGGUGAAAUGCGCAGAUAUCAGGAGGAACACCAAUGGCGAAGGCAGCACUCUGGGACGUGACUGACGCUGAGACGCGAAAGCGUGGGGAGCGAACAGG
rnacentral:rRNA from 1 species